GAGGUUGGGAGAGGGAUGCGGAAUUCCAGGUGUAGCGGUGAAAUGCGUAGAUAUCUGGAGGAACACCGGUGGCGAAGGCGGCAUCCUGGACCAACACUGACGCUGAGGAGCGAAAGCCAGGGGAGCAAACGGGAUUAGAUACCCCGGUAGUCCUGGCCCUAAACGAUGAAUGCUUGGUGUGGCGGGUAUCGAUCCCUGCCGUGCCGAAGCUAACGCAUUAAGCAUUCCGCCUGGGGAGUACGGUCGCAAGGCUGAAACUCAAAUGAAUUGACGG
rnacentral:rRNA from 1 species